CCCCCUUCUGCCCCGCUGUGGAAACCCCCUGGCCUCCAUUCUGCACAUGGAAGAGUCCUGUAGAUUUGUUCCAAUUGGCUGCGAGCUCUCAUCUGGCCACAGCUCUCCACUGCAGGAGAGAUAACCUGCACUACAAGUACAGUAUUUGUUUUCCUGUGGAUAAGCUUGCUCUGGUGUACUGAUGAGACUUUUUGUAAUGGAACUGAUGUUUGUCCCACUGUUGUUGCUGACCUUACAAGUCCAAAGAAUGCUGCUAGUAUAGUUUCUUUUAGAAACCCAUCAAUCCCCAUGGUCUCAUUAUUUAUGACUACUGUCUGUAGAUGCUUUCUAAAGAAAAUGGAGGUUAUUUGAGUUAAGUAAUGCAUCUUUUACACUGCACACACUCAUGUUUGUGGUUUGUCGUCAAUGUAGAUGUACGCCUAUUAGAAACAAUGUUUAUGACGAGAAUAAAAAGCUAAAUGUUGGAAAAAUAAAUGUUUUAUAAAGUCAAUGCAGACUCUGGCUGUGAUCAGUGUUAUAGCUAUAGUAUACUUAUAGAUUAGGGCGGCUCGAAGCAAUGUUAUUUUCAUUUUAUUUUUAACACAUCAGAUUCUUCCUGUGUAGAUUGAUUAAUGUUGUUGAUGUACAGUGUUUAUAAUAAAUUUAUAUAUGUUACUGUCAUA